UCCGGAGGAUGCAAGCGUUAUCCGGAAUGAUUGGGCGUAAAGGGUCCGCAGGUGGCCCUGUAAGUCUGCUGUCAAAGAAUGAGGCUUAACCUCAUCAAGGCAGUGGAAACUACAUAGCUAGAGUACGGUCGGGGUAGAAGGAAUUCCUGGUGUAGCGGUGAAAUGCGUAGAGAUCAGGAAGAACACCGGUGGCUAAAGCGGUCUGCUGGACCGGAACUGACACUGAGGGACGAAAGCGAGGGGAGCGAAUGGG
rnacentral:rRNA from 1 species